GCUAAACGCGAAGAACCUUACCUACCCUUGACAUGUCCGGAAGCCUGCUGAAAGGCGGGGGUGCUCGAAAGAGAACCGGAACACAGGUGCUGCAUGGCUGUCGUCAGCUCGUGUCGUGAGAUGUUGGGUUAAGUCCCGCAACGAGCGCAACCCUCGUCUUUAGUUGCCAGCAUUCAGUUGGGAACUCUAAGGAGACCGCCGGUGACAAACCGGAGGAAGGUGGGGAUGACGUCAAGUCAUCAUGGCCUUUAUGGCCAGGGCUACACACGUGCUACAAUGGCAGGUACAGAGGGAAGCCAACCAGCGAUGGGGAGCCAAUCCCAGAAAGCCUGUCUUAGUCCGGAUUGCAGUCUGCAACUCGACUGCAUGAAGUUGGAAUCGCUAGUAAUCGCAGAUCAGCAUUGCUGCGGUGAAUACGUUCCCGGGUCUUGUACACACCG
rnacentral:rRNA from 1 species